UACGAAGGGGGCUAGCGUUGCUCGGAAUCACUGGGCGUAAAGGGUGCGUAGGCGGGUUUUUAAGUCAGGGGUGAAAUCCUGGAGCUCAACUCCAGAACUGCCCUUGAUACUGAAGAUCUCGAGUCCGGGAGAGGUGAGUGGAACUGCGAGUGUAGAGGUGAAAUUCGUAGAUAUUCGCAAGAACACCAGUGGCGAAGGCGGCUCACUGGCCCGGUACUGACGCUGAGGCACGAAAGCGUGGGGAGCAAACAGG
rnacentral:rRNA from 1 species